rnacentral:rRNA from 1 species
AUACGGAGGAUGCGAGCGUUAUCCGGAUUUAUUGGGUUUAAAGGGAGCGUAGGCGGGAGCUUAAGUCAGCGGUUAAAUGGUGCGGCUCCACCGUGCCCUGCCGUUGAAACUGGGUUUCUUGAGAGUGCAAGAGGCGGAUGGAAUUCAUGGUGUAGCGGGUAAAUGCUUAGAUAUCAUGAAGAACUCCGAUUGCGAAGGCAGUCCGCUGGGGCACGUCUGACGCUGAUGCUCGAAGGUGCGGGGAUCAAACAGGAUUAGAUACCCUGGUAGUCCGCACGGUAAACGAUGAUUACCCGCUGUCGGCGGUAGACAGUCGGCGGCCAAGCGAAAGCGAUAAGUAAUCCACCUGGGGAGUACGCCGGCAACGGUGAAACUCAAAGGAAUUGACGGGG